GAGGAAAAGAAACUAACAAGGAUUCCCCUAGUAACGGCGAGUGAAGAGGGAAGAGCCCAAGUUUGAAAGCUGGCGUCUUCGGCGUCCGCAUUGUAAACUCGAGAAGCGUUUUCCGCGCCGGACCAAGCUCAAGUCCCUUGGAAUAGGGCAUCAUAGAGGGUGAGAGUCCCGUACUUGGCUUGGAGUCCCCGGGGCUUUGUGAUACGCUCUCCAAGAGUCGAGUUGUUUGGGAAUGCAGCUCAAAAUGGGUGGUAAAUGCCAUCUAAGGCUAAAUAUCGAGGAGAGACCGAUAGCGAACAAGUACCGUGAGGGAAAGAUGAAAAGAACUUUGGAAAGAGAGUUAAACAGUACGUGAAAUUGCCGGAAGGGAAGGGUAGGGAGUCAGAUAUGCUGUGCGGAUUCAGCCUUGUCUUUGGACUUGGUGUAUUUUCGUAUUGGCAGGCCAGCAUCGGUUUGUGCCGCUGGAUAUAGGCUUGGGGAAUGUGGCUUUGUCUUCGGUCAAAGUGUUAUAGCCCCUUGCUGAGUACAGCGGCAUGGACCGAGGCACGCAGCGCACCCUCUGGGCGGGCCCUCGGGCACCUUUGCGCUUAGGAUGCUGGCUUAAUGGCUCUCUGCCACCCGUCU
rnacentral:rRNA from 1 species